rnacentral:rRNA from 1 species
UACGUAGGGUGCAAGCGUUAAUCGGAAUUACCGGGCGUAAAGCGUGCGCAGGCGGUUUUGUAAGACUGUCGUGAAAUCCCCGGGCUUAACCUGGGAAUGGCGAUGGUGACUGCAAGGCUAGAGUUUGGCAGAGGGGGGUAGAAUUCCACGUGUAGCAGUGAAAUGCGUAGAUAUGUGGAGGAAUACCGAUGGCGAAGGCAGCCCCCUGGGAUAACACUGACGCUCAUGCACGAAAGCGUGGGGAGCAAACAGG